UGUGUGUGUGUGUGUGUGUGCGUGCGCGCACACACACACACACACACAUAUA
rnacentral:miRNA from 1 species